rnacentral:rRNA from 1 species
AUUGAACGCUGGCGGCAGGCCUAACACAUGCAAGUCGAACGGUAACAGGAAGCAGCUUGCUGCUUUGCUGACGAGUGGCGGACGGGUGAGUAAUGUCUGGGAAACUGCCCGAUGGAGGGGGAUAACUACUGGAAACGGUAGCUAAUACCGCAUAACGUCGCAAGACCAAAGAGGGGGACCUUAGGGCCCCUUGCCAUCGAAUGUGCCCAGAUGGGAUUAGCUAGUAGGUGGGGUAAGGUCUCACCUAGGCGACGAUCCCUAGCUGGUCUGAGAGGAUGACCAGCCACACUGGAACUGAGACACGGUCCAGACUCCUACGGGAGGCAGCAGUGGGGAAUAUUGCACAAUGGGCGCAAGCCUGAUGCAGCCAUGCCGCGUGUAUGAAGAAGGCCUUCGGGUUGUAAAGUACUUUCAGCGGGGAGGAAGGGAGUAAAGUUAAUACCUUUGCUCAUUGACGUUACCCGCAGAAGAAGCACCGGCUAACUCCGUG